rnacentral:lncRNA from 1 species
GAGAGGAGGUGUGGAGCUAGCACUGUCCCUGCCACCUGUUCUGGGAGCAGGAGCACUGUACCUUUCAGCAUCCCUCUGCUGUGGGCACCAGCCACUGGCAACCAAGCCACACAGAGCACCCUGGGCAGAGGACUGGCAAGCAUUGGCAACACUGGUUUUGGGGGGCUGCCCAGGAUGUGGGGCAUGCAGAGCAGCUGAAAGGCACAGGGCAGGCUGGGGAGGACGCUAACCCUCUUCUCAACCUUGCUACCUGUGUGUACAGAUCAGCAGGUGCCAACCGUGCCACCCUGGCAACAGGUACACUGACCUGGCAAAGACCCCCGUGUGGACCCUCUGCAUGACUGUGGACCAACCCAGCGAUUGUGCUGCUCGUGUCUUGGACCCCCCCCCCCGCUCCCCGACACUGAGACCCCCUUCCAGCGUACAGACCUAGGGCUGUCGCCAAUAAAUAUGGGCCACGCACCGUAAGGUAAUGCCAACUCCACCUUUUGCAAUUUUUAUGAGUUUAUUUAACGCUUUGAUUGCCAGCGAUUUUUAAUGAGACGGGCCGGCAGAGAUGGCACGGAUUUGGUAGAGACGGGAGGUGAUUUAUACCAUAAAAUUCUGGUUAGUAAGGGACUUGUUGAUUGAAGAAUUAGGGAGGAUAUAUUUAGGGCAUUCGUCUAUUGAUGGUUUUGAUUAGAAACCGGACAAAUCAGCUAACUAAUGGUUUCCUUAUGCGCGUGCGUUUUGCGUUUACAAAUACAUUAUAUUUAUAGGAAAAUGCUUUUUCUUGAAUGAUUUCAGAUGGCUGUCAUUCAUUUAUUGGUGGUAGGAAUGGGCACCAACCCAGACAGAAUUAAGGAGAUACCUCUCCGCUUUAAAUAUUGACAACUGUAUCAAGGGAAUUCUAUCCUUUUAUGCGUAAAUAUUACAUUUAUAUGCUUAUAAAUAAAAUAUUCUCAUGAUUUGGCAAUAGAAAAGCUACCGAACAGUCAUUCGAAUUCUUCCUGGGAAACUGACGUAAAAAUGAGAUUCUCUGGUUUGACGCUGGGCUUGCAAUCUAUUCAGUCGGUACAACCCUUUUGCCAGCCCCCCCUUUAACCCUUUUGCCUACAGUGCAUUUAAUUUUCUUUAAGGCCCAUGUAGCCUAGAUUGGGUUAAUGUCUGCACAUUGAUUGAAUUUUCUCCAAAUUCACCAAGGUCUGCAUUGAAACUAGCGCUGUGUAUACAUUAGGGACUUAUAUAAUUCAGAUCCCCAACAUGUACAAUGAUUGACCAGGGUCUGCGCUGCUAAUGAGGCAAUGUUUAUCUUUUGCCCAUUGUGUUAGGUUUCGGCAUGGGUAGCAGAGUAAUACAUAGUGAGAUGACGACUUGACAGAAGAGCUUGCACUCUAAUGUGGGGUGCCUUAAGAGACCACAAAGGUGAAAAUCACUCAAGGUCAUCACAUGACGGAUAGAGCAGGGUAUCAUCUCGAUAUUUUUGAAAGUACGAAGGACGCUGGGUAUAGACGGAGGGACAAAGGACAUCGCUAUAUAGAGUCAGAGUAGAAUGCCAGUCUGCUGUUACACAGUGAGACAAUAGCCUAGACCAUUGUCUGUUUUUAUAGAGAGGCGCAAUUGCAACUUGCACAUGGUAUAAUUCGGAGAGGACAAUAAAAUGCCAAUUAUAGCCUUUUAUGUUAAGUGACAUUUAUGGGCGAUCACUCAAUGAUGUAAUUUUUGCAGGAGACCAGCGACAGACCCAACUCUCUCUGCUUUUUUUUUAUUGUAGGGGCGAUCUAUAGGGCUAAGUGACCGAAAGGUAUUUUCAAAGCCCGUCUAAAAAGGCCUUCGCUGCUCCUUACGGCUAUUAAACGGCUUAAAACGGGGUCCCACGUAGAGCUUGCCUAUAAUCCUAACGCCUUAAUUUGUCUCAGUGGAGAUUUUAUGUAGCCUUGGGGAAAUAGGGUGCGGGGCCCGCCCUCUGAUCCCCCUGUAAAACAAGAGGCUGCAGACAAAACAUUGUAAGAAUAAUAGAAUGGUUUGCAGUAGAAUCUGCUGGAUCGUUCGCCAGGGCCUGUGCCAAACUGUCUGCUCUAUUGAGGUCUGCCUUUUAAAUCCAAAGAGUGUGCUAUGUAAGUGGAUUCUCAGUGAAGUAAAAUCACCUUUCUUUAGCAUGGUGAAUGUUCCCUAAUUUAAUCCCCUUGUUGCCAAAAACGCAUGCAAGCAGGAUCCUAUUUAAAAUAACUGCAGGCAGUCAAAUGGUUAAGGUCCAACCGUACCCAAAUAUAUAUUGUGGUUUGCAUAUAGGCACGGAUUGUGACGGCAGGUGUGCACGGUUUGGCCCACCCUAGCUGCAUUGUUCACUUGGCUGAGGACUAUCCUAUUUCGUUGUCGUUUUUUAAUGGGUCAUCAUUUUCCUUUUUAGACUUCCUUAACAAAUCUCUUCCUACAUGGCAGGGAGGCGGUUCUGUGUAUCUACAACACCAUAAAAAUAUCAUGUAACCUUAAAAAAAAAAAAAAUUAUUAUAAUAGUGAAACAAUUUUGUAUUGGCUAUCUCAGUACCCCUUUAAAAAGUCCACAUUGGUCUCCACUAGUUUUGGGUUAUUAUCCCCCCCAUCCCCCCUUCUAUAAUCAGGACUGGUUUAAGAAUGUAUGGACAAGGGUUUUCAAUCUGUUGUCCAGAAGAGAAUUCAUGGAAUUGUAUAGUGCCAUUGCAAGGGGCCCAGUUUGGUCAGCCCUGAUGUAGGCAGAAUAGUUAAAGAGGAACAUCAAUAUGUUAAUUGGUGAACAUUGCCCUUUCUCUCCUCCCAGUGAGCUCUGCCGAAUGUUGUCUUUGGGCGAGGAUUGCAACUUGUAUCAAAGCAAACUGUGCCGCACAUUAUCAUGAUGGUACACCAUGGUAUGCAUUCAUAUUCAUUCACUACAAGCAGAACAAUGGGACUUUAUUAAUUUGCAUCAAAUGCCAGGCUGUGCCAGGACAGUCUUACAUUUGACAUUUAAUCCAAAAAUAACAUUGACAGUUGUAUUAAAUGGAACGUACAAGUAAAUUAGAAUUUUUAAUGAGUUAUUAAAAUGUGUUAUUAACUUCGCAGUAACAAUUCCUGUUUAAUUCGCCUUCACCGGAUGAUGCUUCCUGUUGACCCAGGGCUAUGAAAUAAAUUAACUUUUAAGGCAGGAAACCAUACAGGUGAGAAUAUGAUAGCUUUUUGCAUUUUUACUCCUGGGAGGAAUUUUUUCUCCGUCGUUAUUUUGUAUAAACAAUCAUGGGGUUUUUGGAAAAGUAUUCCUUGCUGGGUGUGUUUUUGCAACUAAGCCAACUUUGAUGACUGACGAUUUGAAUGUCCUUUUUAGAGGUAUUACUACGUCACACAAACUAUAUAUAUGAUGUCACUACUUCAGUCCAGUGUCUUGAGAUGGUUUGAUCACUGUUGCCAGACUGAGUUUCUUGAGCUUUGCAAUGGUAUUAAAUAAAAACGUGAUUAUUACUGUAUGAAAACACGUGGUCUUUUCUGAUCACGGCAUAGCUUUUUUUAUUUUCCUAAUCACACUAUAGGCAGCAGGCUGGUUUUAGAUUUUAAUGGGAUAUAUAUAUAUAAAUCCAAGAUGCUUGCACUCCAGGUAUAUAAUGACUGUGAUGCCCGGUGCGAUUCCAGCAAAAAAAAACAUAGGUGUCCAAAAAAACGGGUCUUUGUAAAGUAAAAAUGUAACUUUUAAUUCAUAUACAAAAUAAAACAAAUUAACAUCAACGUUUCGGCUCACAUCUGGAGCCUAUCUGCCAUCCAAGAAGGCUCCAGAUGUGAGCCGAAACGUUGAUGUUAAUUUGUUUUAUUUUGUGUAUGAAUUAAAAGUUACAUUUUACUUUACAAAGACCCUGGACUUGCUAUUAGUCCAACUGAUUUUGGGUCCAGGUCUGGCAUGUCUGGUGAUUGGGAUGACUAAUAGAAAACUGUUCGAAUUAUUUGCUAAAGUUAGAAUUUCAAGUGAUCUCACAGCAAAUCUCACGUAAGACCAGAUAGAAAACCUGGAGUUGACUUAGAUAAUUUUUUUCCAACUUGGCUAUUUUGACCUUAAAUUAGAAAUCCACUUUGAAUUCUCUGCUUACUGAGUAAUCCUUUAUCUGUCACACAAGCAUCUCUGUGCUCUGCAGUAUAUAGAAUUCAUAUGCUGCAGGAAGGAACUUGAUUAGGAAAGGACAAAUCCCAAAGUGGUGUUUCUCCUCCAGUAUAUGAAUCCUGCUUACUGCAAGGCAGCACUUUUCCUUUGCUGGCCAUCAGCUUGAAGAUGUGCUAUGUGUCCGGGAAAACAAGGUAAAUCAGACAUGCCUAAAGACACUUCUAGCCACCAAUUUGUCAUUAGGAAAUGUAUCUGUUUUUAAUGCAACAAGGAUUUACAUCUUGUAGAUACAGGGAGCAAAAUUCUCCUGGAAAUUCUGUAUUUGUUUUCUAGAAAGUCCUGUGAAAAAUGAUUUUUCCCAUCAGCUUAUACUCAACACUGCGGUUAAGAUUAGAUUGCAUGCCCUGCAUUCAGACAAAGACUGAUAAAAGAGUAGCCUCUGAUUUAAAGGGGCAUACCAGGCACCAUAACCACUGAGUUGUAUUGUUAAAAGUAUGCUCAAGGAAUGUUAUGGGUGCUGUCCUUCUGAUUUUUGUCAGACAGUUUUUUUUGUUUCUAUUUUUAAAGGGAUGAUCUAAGCACCAUAUUCACUAGCGCUCACUGUAGUGGCUAUGGUGCCUAGAUUCCCCUGGCAUCAUCAAACUGUAUGUAGUCAAAAAUGUAGGAAUUAAACCGGCUGAAUAGGUUAUGGUGCUAAGACAUUAAGCUAUUUGUAGAAAGAACUGAGAGUUUCCUGGCACCCAAAGACCACCCCUUGUUUCCUGAAAUAAGGACAUUUUGCCUGAUGCAUUCAGAAUAUUUGUAUGGGUCAGUGGGAUUCAACCACAUUGUAGCACUGUUAACCCUUUAAGCAAACUGACACAGGAUCCUUUUUUUACAAGAAAUAUUUGUCACUUCAGAGAUCUAUAGUGGCACCUCCUUCCUGUUCUUGGGUUUUGCGGUAGCACCUCCUUCCUGUUCCUGACUUUUGUGGUGGCACCUCCUUCCUGUUCUUGGGUUUUGCGGUAGCACCUCCUUCCUGUUCCUGACUUUUGUGGUGGCACCUCCUUCCUGUUCUUGGGUUUUGCGGUAGCACCUCCUUCCUGUUCCUGACUUUUGUGGUGGCACCUCCUUCCUGUUCUUGGGUUUUGCGGUAGCACCUCCUUCCUGUUCCUGACUUUUGUGGUGGCACCUCCUUUCUGUUUUUGGGUUUUGCGGUAGCACCUCCUUCCUGUUCCUGACUUUUGUGGUGGCACCUCCUUCCUGUUCUUGGGUUUUGCGGUAGCACCUCCUUCCUGUUCCUGACUUUUGUGGUGGCACCUCCUUCCUGUUCUUGGGUUUUGCGGUAGCACCUCCUUCCUGUUCCUGACUUUUGUGGUGGCACCUCCUUUCUGUUCUUGGGUUUUGUGGUGGCACCUCCUUUCUGUUCCUGGGUUCUGUAGUAGCUCCUGCUUCCUGUUCUUGGGUUCUGUACUGGUUCAUCCUACCUGUUCUUGGGUUUGGUAGUGGUUCCUCCUUUCUGUUCUUGGGUUCUGUACUGACUCAUCCUAGCUGUUCUUAGUUCUGUAGUAGCUCCUGGUUCCUGUUCUUGGGUUCUGAGGUAUCUUCUCCUUCCUGUUCUUGUAUUCUUUGGUGACACCUCCUGGCAGUUUUCAGAUUCUGCGAAUGGCACUUCCUGACAGUUUCCAGUCUCCCUCCUCGAUGUACGUAGCUCAGACUCUCCACAGAUGUGAUUUUAAUCUGACCCAAAAGGAACUGGAAAUCUUUCAAUCCUCGUCAACUCCUGAUCAGCUUUCAGCCUGCCAGUGUCCUUCACUGACAGCCAUAACAGUCUACCACGUCUGCAGGUGCUAUAUACACAAAGCAUUAAGCUAUAGUGCACCGCAUCCAUCUCUGUUGCCAUAUUGCUUUCUACAUUAAGACCAGCAACUACAACUGCCUGGUCCCAAACCUGGUUGAGCCACAUGUGUGGUGGGAGAUACCCCAAACUGGGUACCUGCAGGGGCUUUUGUUUUGUUUAACUCCAUUUUAACCCUUUGUAUCCCCAUGGGGUGAAAAAACAAACAAAACAAUUAAUAAAAAUGCAAAGGGGAGACUGUUUAAUAAGGAUAAGUUAAAUCUGUGAUAGCGUGUUUACGAUUCAGUCUAAAAUGUGACCGCAAAGAGAUACAUUCCCAACUCACCAUCUGGGUUAUAUAGUUGGACCCACGUGUAGGGGUCUGAGCCAAAUUCAAGGAAGGACUGUGAAUCAUCAGAGGGCUGUUACAUUCCCACCCAAUUCAGUAACCCCUUCGCUCUCUAAAUGUGUAUUCACCCCCCUACAAAAACGCAUUUAUUAAAUAUUUGUGGCUGUGGUGUUUUUUAGUUUGUUAUAGUGGAAGAUAUGGAACCAAGGAAUAGCAAAUUGUAGGCUCAAUUGCUGAGCAAGAACAAUCACUAAAUAGUAAAACUUCUCCAGGUCUGUUGGAGCUUUAUUUUGGUGUAGAAUCCGUGGUUCCCUUGCCAAUUCUCCACACCUUCCAGCAUAGUGAAUAACUCCACUGGUUUCCAUACUGGUUCACUUAUUAUGGGGUUGACAGUAUUAUUUAUUAUUAACAUGUGGCCACUGAAACAAAUAACGAUUUUCUUCACUGACAAAUAUUUUAAGGGGCACUCCACGUGCCAUGACCACUUUUUAGCUUGUUAUUGUGGUUAGGGUUAAUUUUUUGGUGAGAUUUGUCACUCUUGGCACCCAAGCUCCGCCCCCUUUCUAACUGACAUCUGAUGAGGAAGUCUAUCUUCCCAGAACUUGUAUGGCACAAGCACACGCAAACCAUUGAAGCCCAUUUCCUUCUAGUACAGGGGUUGUACAGUGAACAUGCAUGUUGCCUACCAGGCUCAGUGCACUGCAAUCACAUGGCAGUUGUUGCAAAUGAAGGGGAUUGACAUGCGUGAGCAGGUUGUACAUAUACUUGUAUGGCUUAAUAGGGAAGCUAGAUUACCAAUAUGACAUUAAUGAGAAAUUAAUGGAUUCCAGACACUGGGGAAGACGCUCAAAACCUCAAAAAUGGAAAAGAUAAUGGUGCUUGUCCAGUUUGGAACUCCUCUGCAUCUAUUCACAGGAAGCUUGAUAGAUUGUGAUGAUAAAUGUAGUGAACUAAGUAAUUUAUCAUCAAUAUUGUCUCGAUUCAUACCGACUAAUUUUCUCCAAAUUUGGAUAGGAAAAUUCGGAGCUUAGAGGAUAAGCUCCUGUAGGUUUUAUUCAUGUGGAGCCCUGUAAUAAGCUCAUGACCAUUCCAGUGAGUUUUAUUGUAUUGGAGCUCUGUGAUUCAGUCAUGCACUGCAAAUUACUGUGAAAUAUAUUGCAGUGGAGCUCUGAGAUACAAAUGGACAGAUAAGAUAAAGCAAUAUAAUUAACGAGACAAUUAAGGUAAAUAAAAAUGCUGCCCCACCCAAAAAAAAAAUCACAACCUGUAGAACUUUUUAUUCUCGCUUUACUGUAUGUUAAGCAUUCAGAACUGUAAACAAUAUACAAUUUUUCUAGUAUGCAUUUAGUAUCUGCCUGUGGUGUAUGUGGUGUUCUCUCCGGCACGUAAGUAACUUUAUUAGCUGUCUGUUUACCAUUUUUAUUUUUAGUUAAUCUGCAGUACAGUUCUGCUUUAUGUUCUUUGUUAGAAUUAUUUGCUAUUUGUUUGGCUUUCGAAUAGUUGCAGUAUUCUCAAAGCUCUAUUUCCUGGGUUCGGUGGUUGGUUUGUUCAGUUUGAUAUUUAUUCAUUGCCUGGUGUUUGUUUAAAGGGUUAUUUGAAACAUUAUAAUUACUAGAGCCUGUUGUAGUGUUUAUGAUGACAGGAGUACACGGGGACGGUUCCCCGGUAAUAGGGCAAACUGUUUAGUAGUUCUGGACUAGCAGGUGAGAACACAGUGACACUAGUGAAGGUAGCUUUACUCUUCUAGUAACGAUAAUCUCCGCAUGCAGAGUUUCACAGCGAAAGAAUACACAAACAUUCCAGGCAUCACGACCACUUCAAAUCAAUGAAUUGGUCAUGGUGCUUUUAGUAACCCUUUAACAAUUCUCAUUAAUUGAGACAUUCUCUUUAGAAGGCCCACGAAUGAGGGCAUCAAGAAGGUUAAAAACUAGUUUGUGUUUUUUGCCACAGGAUAGCAGGCUAUGUUGACAGCAGUUAUACAACUCAUGUGGAACUCAUUCUUACUCCUUCAGUGACCACAAGUCUUAACGUCCUGGUAAAAUAUACACUUUGGUAUGGCUUCGACAUGGUGUGGUGGUAGUACUUCCUCCAAAAAAUAGAAAUCUGAUCCUUUUUUUAAUUUCAUUUUUUAGGUAAGAAUUUUUGAAGGUUGGUAGGUUUAGAGUUCUCCAGUGGUAGCUAGACUUCAGUGGUUCAAAACGCUGUGGGCCAACUUCCCAGUUGCUGGGGUUUAAACUUUGGUGAUCGAUAGGGUUUUUAUCUGGAGUUCUUAAACUUCCUUCUCAGUGGAAGGUUUUCAAAACCAACAUUCCAAGAGCGAAAGGAAAAAAAGAGACAUCUUGAGAAAUUAUGUCUUGGAUCUACUGAGACAAAAGGUUAUUGUUCCAGUGCCAACUUCAGAGAAUAGAAAAGGCUGCUAUUCCAGGUUGUUCCUGGUGAAUAAACCCUUAGGCCAAUGGAAACCAAUGAUGGGUUUGCAUCUAGUAAAUCCUUACCUUCAGAUUCAGCAAUUUUGCAUAGAGUCCUUGUCAAACGUUUACAUAGAUUUACAUGCGCCUGUCAAGUUCUGCCUUUCUCGCAGCUAUUUUGCUAUUGACCCAAAAGAAGACCCCCCACUACCCCUCCAACAAAAAAAAAAAAAAUUGAAGCACUUUCCAGUUUUGCAACAAACUAGAAAUACAUUCCUUCCUGACCCCAAAAUGGCAGUCAGCUCUGUCCUUGGAUCAAAAGGCUGUUACCCUACAUAUUCAUAGGAAUUAUAUCCCUCAAUAUUAUGUUUUUUGCGAGUAUUCAUCCAAUUGUUGUUUAAACAUUGUCUCACUAAUCAGGGCAGGGUGUUGAUCUUGUAGGGUGUUCAGAAUACAUAUUUCUACAUCCCAAUGUUCCGAGCACUGGCAUUUGGUCACAGUAGGCUCCUUGUACCGUCACCAAAGAAUUGCUUACCAUUGUGGCAGAUAUCAGAAAACAAGGAGUACUUUAAUUUCAUUACCUGGCUGACAUCUUUUUAGUGGUUACUGACCGGCACACAUUAUCUGUACACAGGGGUCAAGUUGUCCAAGUCUUAACCCAUUUUUGUUGGUUCACCAAUCUUACAUUUUUUUAAAAAAAAAAGCUAGCUCACUCCCAAAAGAAUGGAUUUUUGGGAGCACAAUGGGACACUGUUCAGGCUAUUGUCUCUCCGUAGUAGGAAAGAAGAUGGUAUCCAAAGUGACUUUGUUCCUUACGCUGAGGCUAAUGUCAGCAGGUCAUCGAGCUUCUCCCUGGUCAGAAGUUCAUAGUGAACAAUUGGGAACUAAUUCUGAAAAACAGAAUCUUCAUUGGUGGCUUUCAAUAAAAAAAAAAAAUUCUGAUAGAAGAGAUAGAGUGGAAGGUUGUAACAAUGGACCCCAGUCAUCUCAGUUUGGGAGCUCAUCUCCGACACAUGUUUGUCCAAAAACCUUGUUUCUAGCAAAAAGCAGUCUCUUCCCUCCAACAUCAGUCUGCUUCUGGUUAUAUGAACCAGGAUGGAACCAGGGGUACGUAUCUAUUGAAGGAGAUCAAGCAAUUUAUGGACUAUGCUCAAGAUCCUACAGAACGAUUGCAAACUCUCUAGCUGCCAGUCAGAGAAUUUAGUAGAGGACUUUGGGGCUGGAUAAUAGUCAACUGGAAUUAAUGGAGUCUUUCAAGGAAUGUUUUCUUGUCUCUGACAAGUGAUGAUUUUCACAGGUGGCUAUAAUGGCUUUGGCCAAAAAUCACUUGGUUGCUCUUUAUUAUUCCAGAGGUUAUGACCCACAGGUUCUAGCCCAAGAUGAACUAACAUCCAGAUGGACAUUGCAGCUGAUAUAUUUUCCCUCAGGUUCCUCUUUAUGAGUUUUGAAUAAGAAUAGGAAAGAAGGACUUCUGGUGAUUCCCAUCCUACCAUAUUGACCGAAGAGGUCUUGUAGAGGCCAACUUCAGAACCUCUAAUACAGGAGUGCACAAAAUGUAGAUUCGCAGAUGUUGUAGAACUACAACUCACGUGAUGCUUUGCAUGCCUUUAGAAUGACAAUGCAUCAUGGAAGCUGUCAUUUUAAAACAUGUGGGAAUCCACUUUUUGGGCACCCCUACUCUAGUAGGUCUCCAAAUGUCUCGAAAACAGCUGUCACAAGGUUCAGUGCCCAAUCUUUAUGAGAAAAUGAAAUUUCCUCAAUUUUAUCUAUAGUUUGAGCUAAAAUUAUUUUAAAAUUCUGUGCAGAGUUUGUUUUAAUUUACGUAUUGCUGACAUGCAUAAAAGCCAGGAAAAAAACAAACAAACUAUAUUAGAGAUCAAUCUUCACUUAAAGAGAAGUCAGUAUGCACUGUUCCUUCAUCCGUGUACAUGCUGUUACAGAGAAUACUGGCGUGAUUACUGCAGCGGAGGUAAGUAGACAAUGUACUUACCAUCGCUGCCAUUCUGUGUUGUGUCGAUUUCACCAACCCAUCAAGCCCACGGACACACACAUGCGCACUCAGUCAUGUCCACUCUGCAUUUACAACAACAGUACCGUGUGUACAUGCGCUGUGUGCACAUCACACCAAGAGUUAACUUAUUAAUUAAAUACAUUAGAGCACAACUAACGUUUACUUAGCUGUUGGGCUGUGUUAACAUUGAGGAAGUAAAUGUUCCUUUUAUGUGUGAUUUACAUUUUCCUUAAUAUUCUUUUUUUUUCUUACUGGAAAACAGAGGACGAGAUUUAAAUUUCAUCUAAUUUGAACCAUUCCUCUGGUUUUCACUGGAAACAUUACGUGGGUUUUGGGUGGAAAGGAUGGGACUGGGUUCUGUUACACAGAAAUAUUGUCUCAUACAGUUACUUAGCUAGUGCUCCCAAGGCAACAGAUCUUUUUGGAAGAAACACUGGCUAGACGACAGGGGAAACUCUGGCCAGACUGGGUGUAAGCUUAUUAUGGAAUUCUUAUUAUGGCAAGAUUGAUUGUCACUGGCCCUGUCCGUGUCAGAAUGGGUGGGUAGGGUAUUAGACCUUUUCUCUGGCAACCAAUGGGUUAACAUGUGCCGUAAAGUGGUAAGCCAACCUGUGAGUCCUUCACUAACACUUCCCUUGGCUGCUUUUAGUUCAGAUGAACAAUCUCUGAGACAGGAAUGGGUUGUCGUAUAAAGUCCUGCAAACUCCAAUAAUGUGCAGUUGAAUACGCCCAAGAGUAAUGGGAGUUUGAGCAAAGCACUCUGCUACUGAUCUUUUCUUCCUCAUUCCAUACUGUCUGGUACUAAUCUCUUCUUCCUGAUUUCCUACUGGUUAUAGUUGUGAUAUGUACAUAUAUUAUCUAAACAAGACACUCUAUCUACAUUAAAUGUACAUUGAUCAUUGAUUAGCACCCCAUGAGGUCAUGAAGAUGGGUUUUUAAAGAAUAUUCUAUUCCCGUGAUCUGAACAAUGAAGGGUUUAUAAAACCCGUUUCCCAGGUAUCCUCUGCCCCAGUGGGCUAUAAUCUUGUGCAGGGGUAGGCAUCCUUUCGACACUCCAUAUGUUGUGGACUACAUUUCCCUUGAUGCUUUGCCAGCAUUACGGCUAUAAUAGCAUUAUGGGAUGAGUAGUCCACAACAUCUGUAGUGCCGCUAGUGAGGCAUAUCCCAAAGCAGUAUAAUGGGAGUCCCUGCUCGACACAAAGAGCUUACACUCUAGAAUUAUAAUCUGUCAGAUUGCAGUGAAGUGCUAACUAUCUGAUAGAAUCUUUCCCAGUGAGCUCACAAUCUAGUGCAGAGCCGGAUUAAGGUUCCCAGAGCCCGAGGCAGGAUGCCUCCCAGAGCCCUGGGGUCUGUUUCUGUGAGUCUUGUGUUUAUGGAGGAGGCUGAGAGCUGUAUGAGGUGAGGUGUGCCUGUGUGUGUUGGUUGUGUGCGUAGUGGCUGAGUGUUGUGUGUGUUUAGGAGAGUCAGAGUUCUGUCUGUGGUGCUCUGAGUCAUUGAGAAGCGCUUUGGUACUGCGAGGGAGCUCUUAAAUAGAUCUUCACUGACAGUUGCAGAGCAUGAAGCUCUCUGAGCAGGUUAGGGGGCUCAGGGUCAGCAGGGAGACCUACUCAUCUCUGUUUCCUGAUUUCCUACUGGUUUUAUUUCCCUGCUCGCUGCUGAUCUCUGUUUCCUGAUUUCCUAUUAGUUUUAUUUCCCUGCUCGCUGCUGAUCUCUGUUUCCUGAUUUCCUAUUAGUUUUAUUUCCCUGCUCGCUGCUGAUCUCUGUUUCCUGAUUCCCUACUCGUUUUAUUUCCCUGCUCGCUGCUGAUCUCUUCUUACUGAUUCCCUACUCGUUUUAUUUCCCUGCUCACUGCUGAUCUCUGUUUCCUGAUUUCCUAUUAGUUUUAUUUCCCUGCUCGCUACUCACCUCUGUUUCCUGAUUUCCUAUUAGUUUUAUUUCCCUGCUCGCUGCUUAUCUCUGUUUCCUGAUUCCCUACUCGUUUUAUUUCCCUGCUCGCUGCUGAUCUCUUCUUACUGAUUUCCUAUUAGUUUUAUUUCCCUGCUCGCUGCUGAUCUCUGUUUCCUGAUUUCCUAUUAGUUUUAUUUCCCUGCUCGCUGCUGAUCUCUGUUUCCUGAUUUCCUAUUAGUUUUAUUUCCCUGCUCGCUGCUGAUCUCUGUUUCCUGAUUUCCUAUUAGUUUUAUUUCCCUGCUCGCUACUCAUCUCUGUUUCCUGAUUUCCUAUUAGUUUUAUUUCCCUGCUCGCUACUGAUCUCUUCUUCCUGAUUCCCUACUCGUUUUAUUUCCCUGCUCGCUACUGAUCUCUUCUUCCUGAUUCCCUUCUCGUUUUAUUUCCCUGCUCGCUACUGAUUUCUGUUUCCUGAUUCCCUACUUGUUUUAUUUCCCUGCUCGCUGACCGAAUCCUUCUUCCUGAUACCAUUCUGCUUUUUCUCCCCUGCAUGCUUCUGAUCUUUCCUUCCUCUAUAUUCAUUGACUGCUUAUUUGUUCUGAAGUAGUUUGUGUGUUUUGUCUGUUACUGGGCUCAACUGUCUUAGAUGUGUAAUAAGAAAAGAGCGUCAAAUUUUUGUUGAAAAUUACCAAACUGGAACAAUAGCUGAGUUGGACAAUUUUUUGUUUCAGUUUUGCUGUCUUAGCCUACAAAUUGGAAAUCCCUAGUCCAUUCCAGAGUCUAGAGAAUAAACCUUAAAGAUCUGGGGUUCUUUGCAGAGGACCAAAAUGUUGACCAAGCAUCCCAAGAAAAGUGUGUGUGUGUGUGUGUGUGUGUGUGUGUGUGUGUGUGUGUGUGUGUGUGUGUGUGUGUGUGUGUGUGUGUGUGUGUGUGUGUGUGUGUGUGUGUGUGUGUGUAUUAUAUUCGAUCCAUUUUAAAUAUUCAGUUACAAACAGACAUAUGACUCUAAUGUAAACCAAAAUAUUAUUUUAUAUAAAACAAUGAAAGGACUGUAUAAAUUCAGGGUUUAAUUGGUAUUGUUAGGUAUUGUGUUAUGUGUACAUCCUUUCGGCAUUGGUUUUUAGAUUCGGAGUCCUAUAGGUAUUGUGCUAGUUGGGAGCCAAUAGGCAUUGUACUAAGUUGGGGUCUAUAGAUUAAGGAUAUUUGAGGGUACUUUUGGCAAUUUAUUGUUUUGGGUCCUAUUGGCUACGUGUUAGUUGCAGGUAGUCCAUGGAUAGUUGAGGAUAACAUUGCUUGUGGAGUUCUAAUGCCGGUGGUUUAGAAUUGGGUACAAUCUGCAGUAGAAUGAUUAGUUUGUAAUAGCCGCAGAGGGUUAGCCACUUUGGGUCCUGUGAUAUUUGAUUGAAUUGGCUUGUCUUUGGACACUUACAUGGGAAGUGGUAGUUGCCAGCGUUGCUGUGAGAUCCCCCAUACAGUGCUUUGUACAAGUGGACAGUGUGUGGGAAGGUGUGGACUGUGUAAACAUUGACUCUGAGAGCCUAGGAAGCAUUUGGCUCUUUAUUACCUACUCACUCACAAUCUAAGUGCCUCCCACCCCCUUGCUUUUUGUCUUAAACAGGUCUGUGAAGAAAUGCAGAGACACUGCUCCCAUUAAGAGCGGAGAACGAGCUGUGCUUUCCACUGAACUGGUUCCGCUGGAUAGAAACGGAUUGACUCAAAGAUCAGCUCAUGCAUUGGGGUGAUGCCCUGUGCCUUCCUGAGACCCCAUCACCCUGUGCGCCAAGACUGACUGGACACUACCCGGGGGCAAUCUGACAUUUCCAUUUAUUUUUUAUUACAUUUUAUAAUUUGUGGAGCGUUGGGACAGAGUGGAGAUUCCCGUGGUGAUCUCCGAAUGCCGCAGGAACGGCCGGGUAAAUUUCCCAUCGCUGGGUUCCUGUGUUUAGGGGGCAGAUCUGUGCUAUGCAUUGGUCCCUCUGGUUUUUACCUCUCAGCCUGUUCACCUGCUGCACUGAAGGUAAGUGUCCCUCUUUAAAUUAGAUUAAAAUAACCUAGAUUCCUCUAAACCAUUAAGAACCAAUGACAUGUCAUGUUGUCACCACAAUCUGAUUUCUAAAGACUUGUGUGGUGCGUCCUGCUGAUACACAAGGCAGAAUUAAUACGUCCACAUUAUCAGUUGUCAAUUUCAAUUUGUCAAUUUUGUCUAACCUGGCAAUGCAGUUUGUGUUCUGUACUCAUAAAGUUCAUUCAUUUAACUGUAGCUCUUUAUGUAACUGUGCCUGGUGGUCUCUGCAUCAAAUAAUAUGUCCCGUGCACCUGUUAUAGAUCUACCUGACAAGUUGCUCCUUUGUGAAUUGUACCAUGACUGGUGCAGGACUCAGGGGCAACUGUAAAAUUGAUUUGUACGAUAGGAUUUCUAGUGAAGGGGGGUUUAUCAGUAACUGUUUAGCCUUUGCAGGGCAGGUAGAUAAAAAUGUAUAUUUUCAAAUAUUUAAAUAUUAAAAUCUACGGAGCAGUUCUAAUCGAAGAUCAAAAUAUAGUCUUGAUUAAAUAUAAUUUUAUAGGUGAUGUGGCUGCUUUAAGAUCAUUCACAAGCAGUCACUGAUUGUAUAGCAGAAACUUGCUUGUCCACCUGCAGAGAGUACAUUUGACAUCUGACCUGUUACACCUGUACUUCCUGUCUGCAUCCCCCUUCACUACACCCCCCCCCCCUUUUACUGUUCUUUAAAAGCAGAACAGACAUUCUGAAUGGCCACUAAAAAGAUCAAUAUGGCUGUCAACGGCAGAUUAUUCAUUUAACAAGAUGAGACGAGCAAUCACAAAGUUUGAAAUUUAGCAAAAAUUAAAAAUAAAAAUAAAAUAAAGGCUAUUGUGGCUUAAAGUUUGCAACUUCAUUUUACACCGCUGUGUGGGUAAAUCCAGUAGGGAUUUACAAAUUGUGCAGUGAUUAAUAAAAUAACUUAACGCUUCUGUGGACGCGGUCACAGCUCAGCUUAGUACAUAGCCUUGUUCUGAAACAUGCAAGACCGGCCCUGUUAAUAUGUAGCUCAUUUACCUGUACCAUCCCUGGUGAAGCUUGUCACGGCAACAGGAGCCUUAGUAAACUAUUAUCAGCUGUUGUCUCCCGUUUCCUAAAUUAUAGGCCUGCUAAUUCCCCAAACAGAGCUAAUCCUGGCUCUGUCAAUAACACCAGCUGGGAUAGGGAAUGUGUCUAGUCUACAACAAAGAUGAAUGAGCAUUAUUCACUAAACAAGGAGCGUUGAGGAAGGAUUUGCAAAUUUUAGUUCGAAAUUGUCAGACUGGAAAAUUUGCCAGUUAUCUUCCAUACUGAUUAUUUUGGCCUGAGAUUAUCAACCCUCUUGACAGUUUCACACAAUAGCCAGUUUUGGUGAAUAAAGGUCUAAAUGUGUAAUGGACGGCAAUUCUGAAUCGUUUGAUAAAGGUUCUGUAUGUCGGCUGACUCUCGUAAAAAGCCAAACUUUGAAUAUUUGUGGUAUACGUUCCCUGAUGCAUUUUUAACAGAGAAAUGUGAUGCUUAUCGUAUACCCAAAUGCCAUCUGCUUAUUUGUAGCAUUCACUAAACCUGGACUUGUCAAAAAGAACUGAACUUGGAACAUUUUCAAAACUUCAAAGUAUAUUUGCUGCCCAGCUAAUUUAGCCCAAACUUGACGUAAUUGAUGUAUAAAUGACCUGUUGUAUUCUUGUAUGUCUCGUUUUCUUUUUAUUAAAAAAAAAAAAAAAAUUCUUCAAUUUCUUUCUCUCAAUCUCUGGAAAGUAGUCUGGUGACCAGACACCGGAGGACAACUUGUCAUUCCCAGGAAGUAAAAAAUAAAUGAAAUACGGUUCUAAAACAUGUGCAGUGCCAAGGUUAGGUUUGCUGAUUACCCCACACAGAUUGCAAUACCUUCCCUGGCUUUCUAACAGCUAUGUCUCUCCCGUGCAGGUACCAUCCGAUCAGACGCCCAGACGGUGGUUGGCCGCAUAGGGGAGAGCGCGGUGCUGGGGUGCAGCCUGCUCCUCCAGGACGCGGGGCGCCCUCCUCUCUAUGUCAUUGAGUGGGUGCGCUUUGGUUUUACCCUUCCGAUCUUUAUCAAAUUUGGUCUGUACUCCCCCCGCGUGGACCCGCAGUACCUAGGU